UGCAGUACUCUUCAAAGACAACAUAUGAUGUAUUGUCGACAGAUGAAGAUUCAGAAGAUGUUUACAUCCAUCUUCUACACUAGAAGUCCAAGAAGUUCCUGUGUGCCUCCACCUGCCUCCAGAUACUGGAGAACAACAUUUUGAGUGUUCGCUGACUGGCAGAGAUUUACAAAUUCUUUUACAGCUGAAAAUAUAAAAACAAAUAAUGUAUGGUAUCUUAACAAACUCAGUGGUAGAGAGAAUUCAGUAUUCAGCAAGUCAUGAAAUUUCCUGCUAUUAUAAAACAUAAUGAUUUAUCAGUACUACAACCCCAUGCAGUCACUGCAUUCUUUCUUUGUCAGUAUUAUUGGUGAUGUUGGCAGAUAUGAUAUAUGUGUGAUCUGAAGUUUUCAUGGCGACUCAGUAUAACAAAUUCUUCUUAGGCUACCAGCCAUGUGAGCCACCUUACACAGCUGGGCAGGUUUUGGUUUGUGCUAGAAAGACUCAACAUGAGGAUUUUAAAUACUUUCUGCAAAUGUGGUAGCCAAAUAUUCUGGUUGCCCAUCUCCUUGCCCCUCCAACAUUAAAUUUACUAGGAAUUAAGGCACUAAGAAAAGCUGGAACAUUAGGCUAGUCUAAUGAGUAAAAUGAAAAUAUUUCUGAUGCCACUAUUCUAGGCAGCAGCGUGUGUCUGCACAUAAACCUAAUUUAAUGAAACGGCAUCUGCAUCUGCAAACGCCAAUUAUCAAAUGUCAAGUUAGCUGUCAACUGAAAUGUUCCAGUUAUAAAAUUCUGGUUCUGCAUUUGCAGCAUUUCUGAAGCACUCUCUGGGGCUGAUAAUUUUAUGUAUAACUUAGAAGCUACUUUAUAUUUUACGAUGUAUCCAUCCCGGUAAUUUAUUACUCUUACUAAAACUUAAAAUAAAACCCAGAUAAUCGGAGGAGCAUCUUAUCCCAAUCAUUUCGGAUUACAAGUCUUCAACAUACUCAACAUGCAAUAUAAUUCUGAUGGUGGAGGCGAAAUACCCCACAGAUUAUAAUAAUAUGUAUGGCUUAAGUGUAUGUUUGAAUUGAUGGCGCUAACCUGUAAUGGCGUCCUCUCCUUGAAUGCUCUUUCGAAAUACACUUGCACAAAAUAAAUUCGUC